AAAUAACACUGGGAGAAAGUCCCCGGACGCUGAGGCAGUGAGUGCCAGCUUUAGCAGGCAGGACUUCUGUGAGUUCAUGUACAUUUUGGUGAAGAAGCCCAUCGGCUGAGCCUGUAUGUGUGCCCGGAACAGCUCGUCAUAGCACAGUUAUGUGACCAAUGGAUAUCAUUUGACAUUCAUCAACAGAACGGGGCUUACUCUCAUG
rnacentral:RNase_MRP_RNA from 1 species